rnacentral:rRNA from 1 species
AGCCUGCCCAGUGACCCUGUUCAACGGCCGCGGUAUCCUAACCGUGCGAAGGUAGCGUAAUCACUUGUUCUUUAAAUGAGGACUAGUAUGAAUGGCACCACGAAGGUUAUACUGUCUCCUUCCCCUAAUCAGUGAAACUAAUCUUCCCGUGAAGAAGCGGGAAUAAACCUAUAAGACGAGAAGACCCUAUGGAGCUUUAAACACAGUAAUAACUGCCCCUCACCCCUAUGUAUCUCCGGAAAAAACUACCUUACCUGGGCACCCUAAUUACAAGUUUUAGGUUGGGGUGACCGCGGAGCAAAAAAUAACCUCCACAGUGAAUGGGACUCUUCCCCUAAAUUCAGGGCCACAGCCCUAAAAAUCAAUAAAUUGACACCCAUUGACCCA